AGUGAACGCUGGCGGUAGGCCUAACACAUGCAAGUCGAACGGCAGCACAGUAAGAGCUUGCUCGUACGGGUGGCGAGUGGCGGACGGGUGAGGAAUACAUCGGAAUCUACUUUUUCGUGGGGGAUAACGUAGGGAAACUUACGCUAAUACCGCAUACGACCUACGGGUGAAAGCAGGGGAUCUUCGGACCUUGCGCGAUUGAAUGAGCCGAUGUCGGAUUAGCUAGUUGGCGGGGUAAAGGCCCACCAAGGCGACGAUCCGUAGCUGGUCUGAGCGGAUGAUCAGCCACACUGGAACUGAGACACGGUCCAGACUCCUACGGGAGGCAGCAGUGGGGAAUAUUGGACAAUGGGCGCAAGCCUGAUCCAGCCAUACCGCGUGGGUGAAGAAGGCCUUCGGGUUGUAAAGCCCUUUUGUUGGGAAAGAAAAGCAGCAGGUUAAUACCCCGCUGUUCUGACGGUACCCAAAGAAUAAGCACCGGCUAACUUCGUG
rnacentral:rRNA from 1 species